AAAAAGAUUCACCUUCACUCAUGUGAAUCCGUUGUUGGAUCACGAAUCACGUUGAUCUCAAAUCACUCCACACUUUGUCAUUCAUCUGCGUGUGUAGCUCUCAAAGCAAUUAGUGGAUGAUCUAAUGGUGGAGUCAUGCGAAGAAAGAUUAUCCUUCUUUGGUGCAAAAGAUACACUUAGGACCUGUGGCUCAAGCCCUCACAGGCACUUUUCAACCCCUCCCUGUGGCUGUGUUCGGCUGCUCCCAUUCACCAACGUUGGCACCUUGCAUGGUGAGCUAUGCAUGUGUAUUGGCUUCUAGGAACUCACAGUGUAUCCUCUUGAUCUCUUAUCAUAUUCCUCUACUUGAUGGAGUACAAAGGCUUGCCUCCAUUUUACCAUAAAAAGAAGAAGAAGAAGAAGAAGAACCAAAAACAAGGUCAAGCAUUCAUGGAAUUCAGCUGGUUGCAUAAUCUACCAGAACGGUAGCUCUCCACCUAAAUAAAUCAACAUACUCUUCCCUAAUCUUUUUUACAAGGUCUUGAUUGCCAUGGUCAAAGAUAACUGCUAAAAAUGUAAUAACAAAGAUGCUUAAGUGGUAAAUGACGAAUAAGGUGAUUGAGCGAUCUGAAGUUAAAUAUUGGCUUUUGGGGUAAACAUAAAUAAAAAUAUAUAAAGAGAAAUUAAGAAUAACUGAAAUUCAAAAACCAAAAGAUGAGCGAAUGGC
rnacentral:lncRNA from 1 species